rnacentral:rRNA from 1 species
CUAGCAAGUCAAACCUUUCAAAAAGAAUUUAGCAAGACCCUCCGAAACCAGACGAGCUACCUUAAGACAAUUUUAUAAUGAACCCUCCUCUGUAGCAAAAGAGCGGGGAGACCUUUAGGUAGAGGCGACAAACCUAACGAGCCUGGAUAUAGCUGGUUGCUUGAGAAAGAAUUUAAGUUCACAUAAAAGCAAUUAUACCAACAAGGAAAAAUUCUGCCUUUUACUUUAAUCAAUUGAGUUACAGCUCAAUUAAUAAGGGAAACAACCCAAAUAAAUGAAUUAAGAUUAUAUAAUUUUAAGAAACACGAGCCUAGUAGGCCUAAAAGCAGCCACCAAAACAGCGUUAAAGCUUAACUUAAACCAUAUCACCUAUCCCAAUAAACAAUCUCAAUUCAACAAAACAAUCAAGCCAAUCUAUCUAUAGAUAAGCUACUACUAGAAUUAGUAAUAAGGAUAUAUCCUCUAUAAUAUAAACGUAAAUCAGAACGAACAACCACUGAUAAUUAAUGAAUAUAUUUUUAAAACAAGAACUCAAUAAUAAAAAUCAUUAACCCAACACAGGAAUAUUAAAGAAAGACUUAAGGCUUAGAAAGGAACUCGGCAAACCCAGGCUU